rnacentral:rRNA from 1 species
UACGUAGGGUGCAAGCGUUGUCCGGAAUUAUUGGGCGUAAAGAGCUCGUAGGCGGUUCGUCGCGUCGGCUGUGAAAACCCGGAGCUCAACUCCGGGCCUGCAGUCGAUACGGGCGGACUGGAGUUCGGCAGGGGAGACUGGAAUUCCUGGUGUAGCGGUGAAAUGCGCAGAUAUCAGGAGGAACACCGGUGGCGAAGGCGGGUCUCUGGGCAGUAACUGACGCUGAGACGCGAAAGCGUGGGGAGCGAACCGG